rnacentral:rRNA from 1 species
GACGAACGCUGGCGGCGUGCUUAACACAUGCAAGUCGAACGGAAAGGCCUGCUUUCCCUUGUGGAUUGCGGGUACUCGAGUGGCGAACGGGUGAGUAACACGUGAGUGAUCUGCCCCCAACUUGGGUAUAAGCCUGGGAAACUGGGUCUAAUUCCCGAUAGGACUGCAGGGUGGUGCCUGUGGUGGAACACGAUUUUCUAGUGGUUGGGGAUGAGCUCGCGGCCUAUCAGCUUGUUGGUGGGGUAAUGGCCUACCAAGGCGGCGACGGGUAGCCGGCCUGAGAGGGUGGACGGCCACAUUGGGACUGAGAUACGGCCCAGACUCCUACGGGAGGCAGCAGUGGGGAAUAUUGCACCAUGGGCGGAAGCCUGAUGCAGCGACGCCGCGUGGGGGAUGACGGCCUUCGGGUUGUAAACUCCUUUCGACCGCGAGGAAGCCACCUGGUUGGAAGGGUGGUGACGGUAGUGGUAGAAGAAGCACCGGCUAACUACGUG